AUGCAUGAUUUUUUAUAUGCCCGAAAGAAUUUCGGACAUAUUAUGUUAUACCCCCUGGCGUCCGUCCGUCUGUCCGUCCGUCCGUCCGUCUGUCCGUCCGUCCGUUAGCAAUUUGGUUUCCGGAGCAUAACUUAAGUUCCAUUUGGCCCACAAUAUUCAAACUUCAUAGGAUUAUUGUCCAUAUUGGGUAGAAGACCCCUAUUGAUUUUGGGGUCACAAGGUCAAAGGUCAAGGUCACUAUGACCUUAAAACUGAAAACGUUAGCAAUUUGGUUUCCGGAGCAUAACUUAAGUUCCAUUUGGCCAACAAUAUUCAAACUUCAUAGGAUGAUUGUCCAUAUUGGGUAGAAGACCCCUAUUGAUUUUGGGGUCAUAAGGUCAAAGGUCAAGGUCUCUAUGACCUUAAAACUGAAAACAGUUUCCGGAGCAUAACUUAAGUUCCAUUUGGCCCACAGUGUUCAAACAUCAUAGGAUGAUUGUCCAUAUUUGGUAGAAGACCCCUAUUGAUUUUGGGGUCACAAGGUCAAAGGUCAAGGUCACUAUUACCUUAAAACUGAAAACAGUUUCCGGAGCAUAACUUAAGUUCCAUUUGGCCCACAGUGUUCAAACUUCAUAGGAUGAUUGUCCAUAUUUGGUAGAAGACCCCUAUUGAUUUUGGGGUCACAAGGUCAAAGGUCAAGGUCACUAUGACCUUAAAACUGAAAACAGUUUCCGGAGCAUAACUUAAGUUCCAUUUGGCACACAGUGUUCAAACUUCAUAGGAUGAUUGACGAUAUUGGGUAGAAGACCCCUAUUGAUUUUGGGGUUCACAAGGUCAAAGGUCAAGGUCACUAUUACCUUAGAACUGAAAACAGUUUCCGGAGCAUAACUUAAGUUCUAUUUGGCCCACAGUGUUCAAACUUCAUAGGAUUAUUGUCCAUAUUGGGUAGAAGACCCCUAUUGAUUUUGCGGUCACAAGGUCAAAGAUCAAGGUCACUAUUACUUAGAAAUUGAAAACAGUUUCUUGAGCAUAACUUUAGUUCAAUUUAGCCCACAAUAUUCAAACUUCAUAGGAUGAUUGUCCAUAUUGGGUAGAAGACCCCUAUUGAUUUUGGGGUCACAAGGUCAAGGCCACUAUUACCUUAAAACUGAAAACAGUUUUCGGAAUAUAACUUAAGUAUCAUUUGGCCUACUGUGUUUAAACUUCAUAGUAUGAUUGUCCAUAUUGGGUUAAAGACCCCUCAUGAUUUUGGGGUCACAAGGUCAAAGGUCAAGGUCACUUUUACCUUAGAAUUGAAAACAGUUUCUGGGACAUAACUUAAAAGUUCCAUUUGGACCACAAUAUUGAAACUGCAAAGGAGGAUUGUUAUUUGAAGGAGGUAAUACUUUAUUUUAGUCCCAUGUCUUACAAAUGCUUCAUCUUUACUAAAAAAAAAAAACACGUUCGGGCAUAUAAUGCUCCGCCUAGCGGUGCUCUUGUUAGGAUUUUG